AACAGAGUAGGUAAAGAGCGUCAAGUGUUAAGAAAUGGGAAGUUGUUCUUAAACGAAGAUUCUUUAUCGCAUCCGCUGGU
rfam:Anaerosphaera aminiphila DSM 21120 genome assembly, contig: EJ13DRAFT_scaffold00003.3